AUUGAACGCUGGCGGCAUGCUUUACACAUGCAAGUCGAACGGUAACAGGCCGCAAGGUGCUGACGAGUGGCGAACGGGUGAGUAAUGCAUCGGAACGUGCCCAGUCGUGGGGGAUAACGCAGCGAAAGCUGCGCUAAUACCGCAUACGAUCUAUGGAUGAAAGCGGGGGACCGUAAGGCCUCGCGCGAUUGGAGCGGCCGAUGUCAGAUUUGGUAGUUGGUGGGGUAAAGGCUCACCAAGCCAACGAUCUGUAGCUGGUCUGAGAGGACGACCAGCCACACUGGGACUGAGACACGGCCCAGACUCCUACGGGAGGCAGCAGUGGGGAAUUUUGGACAAUGGGCGCAAGCCUGAUCCAGCAAUGCCGCGUGCAGGAAGAAGGCCUUCGGGUUGUAAACUGCUUUUGUACGGAACGAAAAGGCUCUGGUUAAUACCUGGGGCUCAUGACGGUACCGUAAGAAUAAGCACCGGCUAACUACGUGCCAGCAGCCGCGGUAAUAC
rnacentral:rRNA from 1 species